AGUUUGCCUGAAAGGAGAGGUUAGCAGUCCCUUUGAUAAGGACAGAAGAGGUCCUUACCACACAUCUGAGGUUAAGGCAUUGCCACCUACUCUGUGGCAUCUAACCACAUAAUGCU
rnacentral:ncRNA from 1 species